GGAAAACCUUGACAAAAGGCACAAACAUAAUGGUUCUUACUUCAGUUAUUUUAAACAACUCUUUUCUGUUAAUGCCAAAUCUUAGCUGCCCUGUUUGUUUGCCAGAACAGCAUUCCAACAAUAUAAUCUCACUUUCUGUGUGCUGUCACCCGCAGCAUGGACUGGAAUUGAUGGCCGGAUAAAGACCGACCUCAACCCUGUGUCCUUCUCCAUGCUGAGACUAAACACCUCAGACCCAAUAUCAAAUUCAGUUGAGCUGCAAUGGGCGAGCCACGCUAAUGUUGAUGAUGAAUGGUCGGGAUUCAACGGUAUGGCAACAGCAGAUCCCAGCUCGGACUGGAAUGCCCCAGAAGAUUACUGGGGAAACUAUGAAGCGCCUCCUGUGCUGGUGACACAAGCUCCUCUGCAGAAGGAACAGCUGCUACCCAACAAGGUAUCAGAGGAUGUGAAGGAUGCUGAGGAUCCAUCCGGAGGAGCAGCCAAAUCUAAAAAGAAGAGGAAAAAGAAGAAGAAAACAGAAGAGGAAGCUGCAUCUGAGGCUCAGACGGUGAGCACAGCGGCGAUAGUCAAUGCAGUGACCAAACCCCAAGAGCUUCCUGUGUUGUCCAAAAAGCAGAAUACCAGCAUAUCCUCGGCUCAGAAGAAGUCUGAGCAGAUUGUGGAGCCUCCGAAGCCCUCCCAGAAGAAAAAAGUCCGAAGAGAAACAUGAAGUCACAUCACAGGUCCAAACAAAGCAUAUGCAAAUGAUUGUUAGAAGUGUCACAUGCAAUAAUUACAAGGUACAGAGUGUCUUUCUCAGAUACAUUAACAGUUUAUCAAUUACAGAAAGGAAAACAAAGCAAGCAGUAGAUAUCACCUGCUUGGCUAAAUAUAGUGAUGAAAUGUAGUCCUAUGGACUGAAAACUUAACUAAUUUGCACUAUUUGCUACACUGCAACCAGAGUGGAGUUUCAGGUGAGGAGGACUUUUAGUGGAGGUACAUGUUUAAUGGCAUCAAAGGUGUUUUUUUCAUUUUUUUCAUUUUUUAUUCCUAAUCCAAGACUGUAUGUAAUUGUUGACCCAGAAUUACAAAACGGGUUAUAAUUUUAUUUUUGCUGUGUGAAAUUUUAAUUUUAAAAAGAACCAUCCAUGUUUUUUCCCCAGAAGGUUGCACUUUGUUUUGUUUGCCAUGCUGCUGCCGCUUUAUGAAUUGCUGAAAUGUUCUGUUGCAACGGAUUAAGAAUAGGGAUUUUUUUCUCCAGACUAUCUUCAUAUGACACUCACAUGACCACCGAGAGAUAAAACAGCUGCUUUAAUCAUCCUCCUUCUCCCCAUAUUUGGAAAUGGAGUGUAAAAAUCCUUACUCCUUGUGUGCAAAAUGCAUUCUUUAAAUCACCAGUUGACACAUUUCUGAAUAUUUUUUCAUAGUAAUGGUUGUUUUAAUAUGAAAUUCUCUCUUUGUGUUUCUCCAGACAUAAUGGUAGUGCAUGUAGCUUUGUUUCUGGGAAAAGAAAAAAAAACAGUUUAUAAAAAUAAUACCAGGAAAUGAUUUGCUUAUUCUUAGACUUUAUACUUUAGCUUGGUGGGGUUUUGUUUGUGCUGCACAAUACAGUCAAAUUAGCAGAUUCUCACAAUGUCUGUAUGGAUAGGAAAGAUGACGAAUUAUUCAGAGCUCUGUCAACAAAUAUGGCAUGUGAGUGUUGUGUUAAGAUAGGUUUGUCUGUCCUUUCAUGUCAUGUUAUCUGAAAUCUAUUCAGACGCCAAAAUGCUCGCUGCUUGUAGGACGUGUAGUUUAAGAUGAAUGGCAGCUGUGAUGUGGUCCAUGUCAGUUACAGUGGUGUUGACCCCAGAAACUUCUCUACAGUCAUUCCUGCAGCAUAAACCACCUCUUCACCAUCCAUCCGUGUAACUGUACGUUCAAAACACUUAGCGCUUUGCUAAAAUAUAGUUAAGUACACGUCUGACUGUGCCUCAUGGUUUUAGGGGGAUAGUAUGAAGCUGUAGAUUUAGCCUGAUUUUGUUGGAACCAGCUGACCAUUUGAUUAAAAAAAUGGAAAGCUCGUAGGUUCUACUUUUUCUUUUUUUUGAGGGAUUUUGAUAUAAACUGAUUCUGGAUCAACACAAAGGAUUAGUUGAUGUUCUGCUGAGACCACAGUAACUGCUGUGAACCACCAGGAGGCACUGUAAUCUAAAAUUAACAGGUUGUGGGAUUACAUGGAGAAGCAGUAGCACUGUUGAGUGUUGUCCGUCUACUUUUAUCACCAUUGACACCAUGAGAAUCUUAAUCUGACUAGAUUUUAUGUAGAUUUUUCUGCACUCCAUGUGAUUUUUUUUUUUAAAGAUCAUUUAUUCCUGUUUUGUGCUAGAAAAAGCCAUGCCAUAUGUACAGAUUGUAAGGGCUUUUUCCAGUUCUGUAAUUGCACUGUGCAAAAAGCUGUAUUGAGUUCCUUUUGAUGUCGAUGAAUUGUUUUUACUAACUUUUGCGGAAUGUGAAAUAUGUAACUUUUUUUAGUUUGUACUGGACUUCCAAGAUUUAUGAUGGGGGGAGGGGUGUUUUUGACUUAAACUGAGAAUGAAGACGACAUAGAGCAGCUUUAAUUCUACAUCCGAGCUGGUUUUAAACGAGAUAUACACACACGAUUACACAUAUACAAAAGGAAUUUAAUUCCAUUGCCUUAACUUGUAGUUGUAUAGAAAGUGCAUUGGAGCCCUUUUUUUAUAGCUUCCAUCCAAUUGCAAGUUUUGAUGUCAGAAUUCAUUCAUUUUUGCAUGACUUUGAUAAUAGUACUUGUGUACAUGAGAUGAAAUGAUCAAUCUUUUUUGCUUUAACUGUUAGUACUUGGUCCUAGAGUACCACUCAGUAUAUAUACUGUAAUAGCUUUCUGUAAAGAGACAAAUUGCAGCUUUUUCUGUGGCCAUCCAGUGUAGAGGAAUUUGACAUGUUUUUUGUUUUUUUCUGUGGGCAAUGAGCCUUAGUGCAUCAAGGUGUUGAUCAACUGGUGGUGGUAGUUGUCGUUAGACCUGGUAGAUCAUAACGGACAAAAAUGAUGUGUCACUGUGGCUUCAGGUGCCCUUUUGUUCAAUUUUUACUGAUGAGUAAAAUUAUUCAAUCAAUGUAUUUAUAUACUUGUCUCUCGGAAAUGGGUUUUUUUGUGAAUGAUUUUGUUUAUUGAGGAGAUACAAAUGAUAUUUCUAUGUUUGUUUGGUAAAGAUGAAAAUUAAAAGAGCAAUGCUUGAUAUCA
ensembl:lncRNA